GAUGAACGCUGGCGGCGUGCCUAAUACAUGCAAGUCGAGCGAACAGACGAGGAGCUUGCUCCUCUGACGUUAGAGGCGGACGGGUGAGUCACACGUGGAUAACCUAACUAUCAGACUGGGAUAAUUUCGGGAAACCGGAGCUUAUACCGGAUAAUAUAUUGACCCGCAUGGUUCACUCGUGAAAGACGGUUUUGCUGUCACUUAUAGCUGGAUACGCGCCUCAUGAGCUAGUUGGUAAGGUAAAGGCUUACCAAGGCAGCGAGGCGUAGCCGACCUGAGAGGGUGGUCGGACACACUGGAACAGAGGCACAGUCCAGACACCGACAGUAGGCAGCAGUAGAGAAUCUUCCGCGAUGGGCGAGAGCCGGACGGAGCAACGCCGCGGGAAGGAUGAAGGUCCUCGGAUGCGAGAACUCUGUUAGUAGGAAAGAACAAAUGUGUAAUUAACUAUGCACGUCUUGACAGUACCGAAUCAGAAAGCCACGGCUAACUACGUG
rnacentral:rRNA from 1 species